AUUGAACGCUGGCGGCAGGCUUAACACAUGCAAGUCGAGCGGAGCGGCGGACGGGUGAGUAAUGUAUCGGAACGUGCCCAGUAGCGGGGGAUAACUACGCGAAAGCGUAGCUAAUACCGCAUACUAUUGGAGCGGCCGAUAUCGGAUUAGCUAGUUGGUGGGGUAACGGCUCACCAAGGCGACGAUCCGUAGCUGGUUUGAGAGGACGACCAGCCACACUGGGACUGAGACACGGCCCAGACUCCUACGGGAGGCAGCAGUGGGGAAUUUUGGACAAUGGGGGAAACCCUGAUCCAGCCAUCCCGCGUGUGCGAUGAAGGCCUUCGGGUUGUAAAGCACUUUCAGCGAGGAGGCGUUACUCGCAGAAGAAGCACCGGCUAACUCCGUGCCAGCAGCCGCGGUAAUUC
rnacentral:rRNA from 1 species